AUGGCUGGGAUAACUUUUUCAAUCAAAUAUUCCCUCAUCACGUCCCUGUUCACUAUAAUACUUUUUGUCUCUAGGGUCCCUCGAGCCCUAUUAUGGCUCUUUCUGGCGGCAGGCACCUCUUUCACAAACGCCCACACACCGAUUUUUCCAGAAAAUGUCACAGUACCUUGAGCAUCACGUCUGGGUCUUGCUACAACUGUUAGGAGCAUGACUUUACCAAUGCUGUUCUUGUUUUGAACUGUACGUGUAGGAUCAUCCUCUUCCGGCAGCAAGUAGUGUUUUCUUUUCUUUUUGGUCAUAUAGAACCACUUCUCGUCCAUUUGCACUAUGUUCUGCAUAUCAAUGAAUUUAGGUUCAGCGUCCCCAAGAGUGAUCUGAUCUAGCAUUGAAAUGCAGAAUUCAAGCCUCUCCCUCAUGUUGCUCUCUCUUAAUGAUGGCUUCAACGUAUUAGAGUGACGCCUUAUGGGACCCAACUUAAACUUUCUGUGCAAUGUAGUAAUGCUAACAUUUAAAGACUUAGCCAAUGAUCUUAAAGUGGAUCUUCGAUUUAGUGGAACUGUGGCCAUUCUAGAGAGAUCAAGCUCUGCUUUCUUGCGACCGCAUCUACCGGUUCGUUUAUUAGACACAUCAACCUCGAGCCCAAGUGCAAUCUGCUCCCUUUCAGUCCUCCAAAUCUUUUGGAUAACUUGAAUCUGUGUCUGGAAAAAGGCAGCUACUUCCUUUGUUGCAGUCUUCGGUAACUUCCCACUUUUACUCUUUGCAUGCAAUGCGAUGUAAGCAGCGUGUCUUUGAGAAUCUGUUAGCCAUUUCCGUAACCUCAGUUGUGAUUGUUGUAGACCUGCAAGGACAAUAAUGAGAUAAGUAAGUUAGACUGAGUAUCUUUGCUAGUUCAAGUGUUUAGUAACCAAUGGCUCUAUAAUCAGUAUCUCAUAAAUCUUUAUCUCUCAUAAGGGCAUGUUGUACCUGCAAAUUCAGCGGUAACAUUGGCUUCUUCAUCCUGGACCAUAGCACCAAUUUCCUCAUUGUUAUAGCCUCGCCUCCUCCGGGUACAAUUUCAUCAACUAAUUCUUCUAGAGGAGUACAAUUGAUGUCCAGGAAAACUCGUGUUGCCAUAUGAACACCUACAAGAACAAUAAUGAGACAGGACAAUUAGAUUCAAUCAAAUGAACAAGUGUCUGCUCCAGUCAUUUCAACAUGGUUAAAUCUGUAUGAAUUGUUAGUGGCAUUCUGUUGUUAGCUGUAAAUAUGCAUAAAGGAAUCAGCAUGCUUUUUGGCAGCUUCAGCGGGAGCAUUGGCUUCUUCAUCUUGAGCGGGAACAAUGCCUUCUUCAUCCUGAGCCAUAGCAUCAAUCUCCUCAUCGCCUACAGCCUCAUCUCCAGAGUAUGAAGCUUGUACCUGCAGCUUCAGUGGGAGCAUCACCUUCCUCGUCAGCUGCGGCCUCUCCUUCAGCAGAUAUGUUGAAGACGAGGGCAGAGUCUAGCCACGAGGACUGCUUGCCGGAGAUGCAGAGGAACUGCUUGCUUGCAGGAGAUGGCACGUGCUAGAGCUGCUUGCUUGGCGGAGAUGGGCAGGAGCUGCUUGCUUGCCGGAGAUUGCACGUGCUGGAGAAAUCACUGCGCGUGUACAGCUGUAUGGCUUUUGAUUUUGA